rnacentral:rRNA from 1 species
CUUAACUGUGAGCGUGCGGGCGAUACGGGCAGACUUGAGUACUGCAGGGGAGACUGGAAUUCCUGGUGUAGCGGUGGAAUGCGCAGAUAUCAGGAGGAACACCGGUGGCGAAGGCGGGUCUCUGGGCAGUAACUGACGCUGAGGAGCGAAAGCGUGGGGAGCGAACAGGAUUAGAUACCCUGGUAGUCCACGCCGUAAACGGUGGGUACUAGGUGUGGGUUUCCUUCCUUGGGAUCCGUGCCGUAGCUAACGCAUUAAGUACCCCGCCUGGGGAGUACGGCCGCAAGGCUAAAACUCAAAGAAAUUGACGGGGGCCCGCACAAGCGGCGGAGCAUGUGGAUUAAUUCGAUGCAACGCGAAGAACCUUACCUGGGUUUGACAUGCACAGGACGCCGGCAGAGAUGUCGGUUCCCUUGUGGCCUGUGUGCAGGUGGUGCAUGGCUGUCGUCAGCUCGUGUCGUGAGAUGUUGGGUUAAGUCCCGCAACGAGCGCAACCCUUGUCUCAUGUUGCCAGCGGGUAAUGCCGGGGACUCGUGAGAGACUGCCGGGGUCAACUCGGAGGAAGGUGGGGAUGACGUCAAGUCAUCAUGCCCCUUAUGUCCAGGGCUUCACACAUGCUACAAUGGCCGGUACAAAGGGCUGCGAUGCCGCGAGGUUAAGCGAAUCCUUUUAAAGCCGGUCUCAGUUCGGAUCGGGGUCUGCAACUCGACCCCGUGAAGUC